UACGUAGGGUGCGAGCGUUAAUCGGAAUUACUGGGCGUAAAGCGUGCGCAGGCGGUGAUGUAAGACAGAUGUGAAAUCCCCGGGCUCAACCUGGGAACUGCAUUUGUGACUGCAUCGCUGGAGUGCGGCAGAGGGGGAUGGAAUUCCGCGUGUAGCAGUGAAAUGCGUAGAUAUGCGGAGGAACACCGAUGGCGAAGGCAAUCCCCU
rnacentral:rRNA from 1 species